UGGGGUAUCGUCUAAUGGUAGGACACAUGGUUUUGGUCCAUGGUAUCGAGGUUCGAGUCCUUGUACCCCAG
rnacentral:tRNA from 1 species